rnacentral:lncRNA from 1 species
AAAAGAUGUUGUACACAUCAUAGUAUAGAUCUUAUAGUGUGACAAGCAUCUACUAUCACAUAUUUGGAUCAUUUCCCAGAAAACGGAGGGUUGGAAUAAUAAAAUUUUUAUUUCUUUUGCAGAUGGAGCCCAAACAUCAGAUGUUUGUUUGUCUUUCAGAGUUCUUAAAAGAAUGUGAUGCUUCAAAAUGCUGAUGGGACAGGCCUGACUCCAGAUGGCCCUGGGAAAAUCUAUGGGGCCAAAAGGACAGAGUACUGCAAGCCACGCCCAGAGAAGUAGCAGGGGAGCCCAGAGGAAGGCUGUCUCCGGAUGUAUUUUCCAUAACUUAGCACUUGUGUUCUGCACCGCUUGGUCUGGGUCGAGAUUGUGCUCUGUGAGAGAGGUCUUCAGAGGCAUAAAGAAAGAGUUCACAGAGCAAAUCUGUCAGCCCUGUGCUUGUGGUCUCCAAGGAAAACUGAAACCACCCUUGAAGUGACCCGUGGCCGAGCCCUACGUGUGAGUCUCUGCAGGCUUUGUCAUAGGUUCAUCAAUUUCACAGAAAAUGAUUAUACUGGACAAGUGAGAAAGCUCACAGGAACUAGCGAACAGAGCAGAAAAACCAAAGUUAGAAGAACCAAAGGUCGACCCAUCAACAGACUUGAGGAAUGAGUGGGCAGAUCCGGCAGGCCAAUGGUGAGAGGCCCUGGACAGCUGGGCACUGGCCAAGAGUCAGAAUCAAUGAAAGGCACAGAGGCAGCUUCAGGCCAGAGCUGAGAGAAGCAGAAGGUGCAAAGGCACUUCGUGUUUAGACAGAAAGCAGAGCAGCCAAUGACUGAAGGAGCUAUUCUUCAUUUUCAAAGGUGAAGACUCACCAUACGUAUGUGGUGGUUGAAAACAAAUUACAGCACCAUGAAAUAUAUGUGCAUUAUGAAAGAUUCAGUAUCUUUGUGCUCAGAAUUGGAGCUGCAGUGUAAUCAUCAUUUCAGUAGAAGAAUUUCCUGCAAUAAUCCCCUGGCCCUGAGCUGCUGGCCCACCCAGCUUCUGGUGAAGCUUUGAGUUGUCAUAGCAACCACUACCUGAGCUUUGACAUCCAUUCCUGCUGACUAGGGAUUCAGACUCAAAUGGUUUGAUUAUUUUUAAAACAUAAAUUGACAGUGUAGUGAAACCUGGUUUAAACUGGUACAAUCUGUGCAAUAAUUGCUCCAGAAUACCCCCCUCACACACAGACACACUAGGUUGAAAAAGACAAUGUUUUAUUUUUUGCAAGAGCCAUGUUUUAAAAAAUUAUUAUUCAUGUGCUUCCUCACUUACUCCUGAACACACUGUUCUCUGAAAGCGAACUGGGGAUAUGGGAAUCUGGUGCUCACUGUGACGUGCAGGUGCACGAUCUCACCAUGGGGGCCGUCAGGCUACACCUGGGUAGUAGGUGUCUCUGUCACAGUGGAAGCUAGCCCCAUCACCCCUUCCACAAGGUCCCAGGCCAAGUUCACUUAGAGACUGUGUCAUGUGCUGAGUCUUCUGUCACUGCACAGCUCAGGGUGCUGCGUCUGGGAGCCAGUUGUCUAGGGAGGGCUCGCUGGGUGCACCACUGAGUUAGCUGACUUCACUCCUGCUGCAUAGGCUCUU